GAUGAACGCUGGCGGCGUGCUUAACACAUUCAAGUCGAACGGGCGAAGGGGAGCUUGCUCCCCCUAGCUAGUGGCGGACGGGUGAGUAACGCGUGAGUAACCUGCCUUUCUCUGGGGGAUAACGCUGGGAAACCGGCGCUAAUAAAGCAUAACGUAUUCUUAGCGCAUGUGCGGAAUACCAAAGGAUUUCUUUGGAGGAAUAUGGGCACGCGGCAGAUUAGGUAGUUGGUGGGGUAACGGCCUACCAAGCAGACGAUCAGUAGCCGGACGGAGAGGUUGAACGGCCACAUUGGAACUGAGAUACGGUCCAGACACCUACGGGAGGCGGCAGUGGGGAAUAUUGGGCAAUGGGCGAAAGCCUGAACCAGCAACGCCGCGUGAAGGAAGAAGGUCUUCGGAUUGUAAACUUCUUUUAUAAGGGAAGAAUAAUGACUGUACCUUAUGAAUAAGCCACGGCUAACUACGUGCCAGCCGCCGCGGUAAAAC
rnacentral:rRNA from 1 species